rnacentral:rRNA from 1 species
GACGAACGCUGGCGGCGUGCUUAACACAUGCAAGUCGAACGGAAAGGCCCUGCUUUUGUGGGUUGCUCGAGUGGCGAACGGGUGAGUAACAUGUGAGGAAUCUGCCCUUGACUUUGGGAUAACUUCAGGAAACUGGGGCUAAUACCGGAUAGGAUCUCCUGCUGCAUGGUGGGGGUUGGAAAGUUUCGGCGGUUGGGGAUGGACUCGCGGCUUAUCAGCUUGUUGGUGUGGUAGUGGCUUACCAAGGCUUUGACGGGUAGCCGGCCUGAGAGGGUGACCGGCCACAUUGGGACUGAGAUACGGCCCAGACUCCUACGGGAGGCAGCAGUGGGGAAUAUUGCACAAUGGGCGGAAGCCUGAUGCAGCAACGCCGCGUGCGGGAUGACGGCCUUCGGGUUGUAAACCGCUUUCGCCUGUGACGAAGCGUGAGUGACGGUAAUGGAUAAAGAAGCACCGGCUAACUACGUG